AUGAAACAACUACUGGCUCUGCAUGGACCUUUACCUCACCCCAAAAAAGAAAUUCUCCUACAAGACAUGAAACUCCAUCAAAAUGAAAAAAACACUCAUAUACCAUCACAAAGCAGAGAGGGAGGAACCAAAAUCCCAGGCGUCAGACUCAGAGGCAAUAGCUGCACCUCCGUAUGCAAGAUGGCUACACCUUUCUUUUAAGUUGCCUAUUUUGGCCCUAAGUUCAAAGACUUUGAAUAACUUUAUCUAAUAAACAAAGUACUUAAAAUGUAAAAGUAAUAAACAAAAAAAGAGGAAGUAAUCAAAGAAAUAAUGAAGGAAGCAUUCCCUGAACUAAAGACAAAAAUUUUUGGAUUGAAAUGACCAAGAAAAACAAGCAACCCUACCUAGGAAGAGUAAUGGAAGUGACCAAUGAAUGUAUGAAAUAACUUUAAAAAAAUACUUUCUCAGUA
rnacentral:lncRNA from 1 species